CCAGUUAUGACAUGAACUGGGUAAACUGGGAAUGUGUUUGUUGAAUGUGUUUGUGUCAAAGUCAGAGAGCCGUGUCUCUCUACAGUCAGAGGUUUUUGUACGGCGGCUCAAUCAGUUUGUAUCACUGUGGUUGACUUUUGGUGGAGGAACCAGACUGGAUGUUGGAGCGGGUCGAGUCGUCCCCACCCUGACGGUGCUGCCCCCCUCCAGUGAGGAGCUGCAGCAGGGGAAGGCCACGCUCAUGUGUCUGGCCAACAAGGGCUUCCCCUCAGACUGGAGUCUGUCCUGGAAGGUGGACGGCAGCAGCAGCGGCAGCAGCAGCUGGGAGGAGAGCAGGAGCCCCGGGGUGCUGGAGAAGGACGGCCGCUACAGCUGGAGCAGCACCCUGAGGCUCCCUGCAGACCAGUGGGGGAAGGUGGGCUCUGUGACCUGUGAGGCCACCCAGGGCUCCCAGACUCCACUCUCAGAGACACUGAGGAGAGACCAGUGUUCCCAGUCCUGAGCUGACUCACUGGGACUCUGCUACUGGUUUUACUCUCAUUCUGCUCUCAGUCUGUUCUCUCUUUCUUCUUCUCUCUUUGUCUUGACGUGUUUCAACAUUAAAGUGUUCUUGCCUUUCUUCAUGUUGUCAGCAUUUUCAAACAAUAAAGAGUUUCUCAUGUGUAUUAUAA